rnacentral:tRNA from 1 species
CAGAGCGUGGCCGAAUAGCCAAGCAUCUCCCUUACACCGAGAAGACAUCCAUGCAAAUUGGAUCGCCCUGA